CUAUCAUUAACUGAAUCCAUAGGUUAAUGAGGCGAACCGGGGGAACUGAAACAUCUAAGUACCCCGAGGAAAAGAAAUCAACCGAGAUUCCCCCAGUAGCGGCGAGCGAACGGGGAGGAGCCCAGAGCCUGAAUCAGUGUGUGUGUUAGUGGAAGCGUCUGGAAAGGCGCGCGAUACAGGGUGACAGCCCCGUACACAAAAAUGCACAUGCUGUGAGCUCGAUGAGUAGGGCGGGACACGUGGUAUCCUGUCUGAAUAUGGGGGGACCAUCCUCCAAGGCUAAAUACUCCUGACUGACCGAUAGUGAACCAGUACCGUGAGGGAAAGGCGAAAAGAA
rnacentral:rRNA from 1 species